UAGUCCACGCCGUAAACGAUGGUCACUAGCUGUUUGGACCUUGGUCUGAGUGGCUAAGCGAAAGUGAUAAGUGACCCACCUGGGGAGUACGUUCGCAAGAAUGAAACUCAAAGGAAUUGACGGGGGCCCGCACAAGCGGUGGAGCAUGUGGUUUAAUUCGAUGAUACGCGAGGAACCUUACCAGGUCUUAAAUGUAGAUUGACAGGUCAAGAGAUUGAAUUUUCUUCGGACAAUUUACAAGGUGCUGCAUGGUUGUCGUCAGCUCGUGCCGUGAGGUGUCAGGUUAAGUCCUAUAACGAGCGCAACCCCUACCGUUAGUUGCCAGCAUGUUAUGAUGGGGACUCUAGCGGGACUGCCGGUGCAAACCGAGAGGAAGGUGGGGAUGACGUCAAAUCAUCACGGGCCCUUACGUCCUGGGGCUACACACGUGCUACAAUGGUAACGACAGAGGGCAGCCACCCCGCGAGGGGGAGCGGAAUCCUAAAAACGUUAUCUCAGUUCGGAUCGGAGUCUGCAAC
rnacentral:rRNA from 1 species